AAUAAUAAUUAGAUAGAUAAUUCACAUAUUAUUUCAGCAUACUAGCAUUAGGUUGCAAUUAAUAAUCAUUCAAAUCUUGUUAGCAAAGCAUCUUAGUCCUUUUUUUCUCAUUACCCCAUAACUAACUAUCGGAUAAUUAACGUUAUUUCUAACUUUUUAACCAAUGUAGUAGAACCAUAGCCCCUUCAAAUAUUAACGGUCAUCCUGGGACUGGGCUAACAGUAGGAUUACACGGCAAAAUGCUUCAACCCCAAUCUACUAACAUGUCCUUAGCUUCAACUCAACAUGUAGCAUUAACGUUCACUAAAAAUUCCAUUUUUCAACUUGGCAUAUUGUUACACAAAACCGCAGCAGAGUAAAACUAAAUCUCAUUAACAGAAAUACAUAACUAACUGCUCAAUAUUCCUAACUUAAUCACCAAUUUUGAUGCGCUAAUGAAAACAAAUAACUCCUAAGUCAGCUGCAACCAAAGACUUCACUGCACACAUACAAAUAAUUCAUUCGCUUUUCUACUCGUCCAAUUUUAAUUGAUUCGGCGCAUUUUCAACCUGAAAUUAACAAAAUCAAUAGUAAAAAUUAAUUCCUAUAGUUUCUAAAAUUCGAUUAAUUAACCUACAGCUGAUUCCAAAAAAGUUCAAUUAAGCGGAAACUCAAUAACUAACCCAACCUCAGGUUUUUCAUUCGACUAAUUUAUCAAGCAGAACAAAUAAAACAUCAGCUUGCAGUUUUCAUUCAACGGCACAAAUUAAGUUCUAACUAACAUAACAGGAGGUUUUGAAAAAUCUAACUUCUAGCUUCAUUUCAUUUGCCAGCAAAUUGGUGAUAACUAACUGGUUUGAUUUUGGAUUUCAUCCUACCUUAACCAAUUCCUUGACAGAACCAAUUGUGCAUUGAAUUCGGUAAGUUUUCUUCAUCUUUGGUCUUCCGUUUAUCCAGUGCGAGAUUAUUUCGAUCGGCGAAUUCAAUUCCGAUGAUGACUUGGACAUGGGAGAAACGAAGAGGUUCUUGAAGCGUGAACUCGGAGGUGUUCUUCAAGAUGAUUCAUGGUGGAGAUGCUUGUACGCCCGGUUUGGUAAAGGGGGCGAUGACGAUUGCGGCGAUGUCGAUCGUGCCGAUGACGUUUCCGGAUGCAAGGUAAUUUAUCGUUUUGUUUCGAUCUGAAAAGGAAGAUUAUGGAAGGCACAUAGGUUAGAAACGCGGCGUGAUUGAGGUAUUGUGAUGUUUGGAGUGCCGGACCGGGUUCGUUGAUGUUUGUA
rnacentral:lncRNA from 1 species